rnacentral:rRNA from 1 species
AUUGAACGCUGGCGGCAUGCCUUACACAUGCAAGUCGAACGGCAGCACGGGAGCAAUCCUGGUGGCGAGUGGCGAACGGGUGAGUAAUAUAUCGGAACGUGCCCAGUCGUGGGGAUAACGUAGCGAAAGCUACGCUAAUACCGCAUACGAUCUAUGGAUGAAAGCGGGGGAUCGCAAGACCUCGCGCGAUUGGAGCGGCCGAUAUCAGAUUAGGUAGUUGGUGAGGUAAAGGCUCACCAAGCCGACGAUCUGUAGCUGGUCUGAGAGGACGACCAGCCACACUGGGACUGAGACACGGCCCAGACUCCUACGGGAGGCAGCAGUGGGGGAAUUUUUGGACAAUGGGCGCAAGCCUGAUCCAGCAAUGCCGCGUGCAGGAUGAAGGCCUCGGUU